GACGAACGCUGGCGGCGUGCUUAACACAUGCAAGUCGAACGGAAAGGCCCUGCUUGCAGGGUACUCAAGUGGCGAACGGGUGAGUAACACGUGGGUGAUCUGCCCUGCACUUCGGGAUAAGCCUGGGAAACUGGGUCUAAUACCGGAUAGGAGCCAUUUUUAGUGUGAUGGUUGGAAAGUUUUUUCGGUGUAGGAUGAGCUCGCGGCCUAUCAGCUUGUUGGUGGGGUAAUGGCCUACCAAGGCGGCGACGGGUAGCCGGCCUGAGAGGGUGGACGGCCACAUUGGGACUGAGAUACGGCCCAGACUCCUACGGGAGGCAGCAGUGGGGAAUAUUGCACAAUGGGCGCAAGCCUGAUGCAGCGACGCCGCGUGGGGGAUGACGGCCUUCGGGUUGUAAACUCCUUUCGCUAGGGACGAAGCUUUUUGUGACGGUACCUAGAGAAGAAGCACCGGCUAACUACGUG
rnacentral:rRNA from 1 species